rnacentral:lncRNA from 1 species
UAGGGAAUAUGGUGCUAUGACCAUUCUUAAAUUUGAAGGAACUUGGAUACUAGGAUCACUCUUAAAAACAUAAUAAUAAUAACAAUAAUGAUAAUAAUAGUAAUACUAUUUAGUAAUAGUAUUAUCGCUUACUAUCAUAAAUUAACAACCUUGUGAUUUGAUACAAUCAUAACAUAAAUAAUGCUAAAUCAUUCAUCCAUGAUCACCAAAUUAAUUUAUGGUAAUCCUCAGACAUACAAAUUAAUAAGACCACACUCUCAUUAUCGAUCGUUGUUAAAAGAACAAUGACUAUCUUAAUAUCAGUUCAAUUAGGUUCAUAUGGUUAUAUAGAUAUAGAUGAGUGCAAGGAGACAUUCAAUAGCUGAAUUUAUUGUCUACUGUUUCUUAAUGUACGAAUAACAACUAUUGAAAAAUCUCUUUCAAAAUUAUCAUCUAAUCUUUAAAGCUUAAUUGCAAGACAUAUUUUUCUAUUUGAUCACUCACAAGUAAGCACUUAUUAUAUUCAUAANNNNNNNNUUUCCUUGUUAGUGUGUUGCCUACGAUCAAAAUAAGAUGAUGACCAAAGGCCAUAGAUGGUUCAACGAUUAAGUGCAAUGAAGGACAAUUAAUUGCCGGUCGGCAUACUCCUUCCACUUAUUGAAAACUAGGUUUUUUCCUUUCUCAAAAGACUAACACUUAUAUAGCACAUAAAAAUAACUGAUGCUUCUUAAUAGGAACACAUGCUUGACUUUUUCUACUACUCUUUCUAUUAUUACUUUUAUACUCAAAAUACACAUUAAUAUAUAAUACUACAAUACAUACUAAUAUGUUCUAUUAUCCGAUGUGGGACUCAAACAUUUUAUUUUCAAUUCACACA